CAGUAGGCUUACAUUUACUAUUAAAAAAAGAAGAAGCAUGUGCUCUGAAUUCACUUGCUUUCUCUCAGAGACCUUCAUUUAAGAGGAUGUGAGACAAGAUCUAGACAUUCAUUAUAGGAUUAGACUGCCUUGAAUAGAGUAAUCCCUGAAUUAUUCCUUCUGACUGAUGGUCAAGAGGAAUGAUGUUUUGCAGCUAGUGGAUAAUGCACUAUUUGAGAGGGAAUCAGGGCUGCUAGAUGGUUCUAUUCCAAUCGAUGG
rnacentral:lncRNA from 1 species